rnacentral:rRNA from 1 species
AUGAUGCUGGCCACCUUGGUACUGUCUGAGAUGAAAGAUGAUGAUAGCUCAGUGGCAACCAAUAGAAGCGAUUUUACAAUGUCUGUUCAAUGUCUCCUGCUUCAGUCUGUUCAAUGCCUUUGUCUAUUGGGCAUUUCUUAUGCUAAUUUUACAAUCCAAUUCAAAGCACUAAGUCUCUCUCCCAUGCCAUUUCAGAAGGUGGUUCAAAGAAGGAAGGAUCCUGGGACAAGGUCAGAAGGGAGCGGGAGCCAAGGCGGCGGUGGCGGCAGUUCCUGGGACAAGGCGGCCAGUGGCGGAUGGGGCAGCAACAAAGGCGGGGAUGCCGGCAAUGGUGGUGGCAGUGGGUGGUAA